rnacentral:rRNA from 1 species
ACUCCUACGGGAGGCAGCAGUGGGGAAUAUUGCACAAUGGGGGAAACCCUGAUGCAGCCAUGCCGCGUGUGUGAAGAAGGCCUUCGGUUGUAAAGCACUUUCAGUAGGGAGGAAGGUAGUGUAGUUAACACCUGCACUAUUUGACGUUACCUACAGAAGAAGCACCGGCUAACUCCGUGCCAGCAGCCGCGGUAAUACGGAGGGUGCGAGCGUUAAUCGGAAUUACUGGGCGUAAAGCGCAUGCAGGCGGCCUGUUAAGUCAGAUGUGAAAGCCCGGGGCUUAACCUCGGAAUUGCAUUUGAAACUGGCAGGCUAGAGUCUUGUAGAGGGGGGUAGAAUUUCAGGUGUAGCGGUGAAAUGCGUAGAGAUCUGAAGGAAUACCAGUGGCGAAGGCGGCCCCCUGGACAAAG